GAAGUCGUGGCUCGUCUGGCCAAAGGAAUGCCGAGAAUCUCGUCUUCGGAAUGAAUUUGGCAC
rnacentral:SRP_RNA from 1 species